AUACUUACCUGGACGGGGUCAAUGGCUGACCAAGAAGAGCCAUGGCCUAGGCUAGUGGCCCACAUUGCACUUUGUGGGUGCGCUGGCUUACCAUCUCCCCUUUGAGGGAGAGUGGAUGUCAUAAUUUGUGAUAGAGGGAUGCAAAAUAUCAAUUUUAAGUUUU
rfam:Triticum aestivum genome assembly, contig: Triticum_aestivum_CS42_TGACv1_scaffold_249439_3DL